rnacentral:misc_RNA from 1 species
UUUAGAUAGAAACAAAUUAACAAUAGAUUUUUCCUCCUCCUCGUUCUUUGUUUUAUCAAGAAGGGUUUUACCAAAAAAAAAAAUUUUUUUCUUGUUAUUGCGACAGAUUUUUAUUUAUUAGCAAUGAAAAAUUUUAUGGCUGAACUAUUACUUUCUUGCAGUGAUCCCUUUAAUAUUCCCUUCUCUUACUUGUCUCUUUCUUUUCUUUCUCCCUCAAAAUCAAGAUGCUCUCAAAAAGUACAAACCACAAGCAAAAUUGACAGAAAUCUUAGUUUAACUAAAAAUAUAUUUAAUUAGUUUCUUUUUGCGAUGAAUUCACAAUGUUCUCUCAGGACUAAGAGGCAACAGGAUUGGACGAAAUCCACUUGAGGAGCUAGUUGAGUUUCUGAAUCGAAUUAGAGCCUAAUUGUUUCCAUAGUUUCUUCUUUCUUGGUUUAGAAAAUGGGGGAUUUGAUGAAGAUGGAUUUACGGGAAGUGGGUUUGCAGAGUGGGUUAGAGAAUGAAAAUGGCUUUGCAGGGAUUAGAGUUUGGAAAAGUGAAGAGAAUAUAAUUGCAACUCUUAAAUCCUUUUUUAAAUUGUAGAACUCAUUAAAAAAAAAAAUUAUAUUUUAGAAAUAUAUUUUGAAAUUUAUAUCUAAAAUUUAGAAACGAGUUUCAAAUUUCAUGUUGGUUUAGAUUCAGAACUAAACUAAAAGUGGCUGAUCAAAGUUAGAACUGAAAUCAAUUAAUAAUUUAUAGGCCUGAGACGGAUUAAAACUGUAUUGGGAGACAAUCUAUCUCAUAUCAUUCGUCUUUGAAUCAGAUCGAAAUUGAUGAUUCGGUUCAAGCUGACUUUUAAAAAAAAAAAAUUCAAAUGUUGA